rnacentral:rRNA from 1 species
GCUGGCGGCGUGCUUAACACAUGCAAGUCGUACGAGAACUCUUUAGCUUGCUAAAGAUAGUAAAGUGGCGCACGGGUGAGUAACGCGUGGGUAAUCUACCUCUGAAUCGGGGAUAACCCGCCGAAAGGCGAGCUAAUACCGGAUAAUAUCUUUAAACUUCGGUUUUUAAGAUCAAAGGUGGUCUCUACAUGUAAGCUACUGUUUGGAGAUGAGCCCGCGUACCAUUAGCUUGUUGGUAGGGUAAUGGCCUACCAAGGCCGCGAUGGUUAGCUGGUCUGAGAGGAUGAUCAGCCACACUGGAACUGACACACGGUCCAGACUCCUACGGGAGGCAGCAGUGAGGAAUUUUGCGCAAUGGGGGAAACCCUGACGCAGCAACGCCGCGUGAGUGAUGAAGGCUUUCGGGUCGUAAAGCUCUGUCAAGUGGGAAGAAACUGCUGGAUGUUAAUACCAUUUAGCACUGACGGUACCACUAAAGGAAGCACCGGCUAACUCCGUGCCAGCAGCCGCGGUAAUACGGGGGGUGCAAGCGUUAUUCGGAAUUAUUGGGCGUAAAGGGCGCGUAGGCGGUCUCUAAAGUCAGAUGUGAAAGCCCGGGGCUUAACCCCGGAAGUGCAUUUGAAACUUA